UCUUAGCCCCCCGCAUCACACACCAAGCCCGAGGACUGGGAGUGGAAGAUGGACGUUCCCAAUGCCUUGGGAUGUGUACCAGAAGCGGGUGUUGGGUUUACUGAUUGACCUUAAAAAUCAGUAUAAAAUGGCACAGCCUACUACCUCUUCUGCCCA